CUCUCCAUCUUUUUCCUUCGCAACGUCUUCCUUUGAACUCUCCGCACCUUCCUCCUCUAUAGGAUAUUCCUUUGAGUCCUCUGCAGCUUCCCCCAUGACAAGAUCUUCCUUUAACUCAGCAUCUUUCUCCUUCAUAGCAUUUUCUUUUGAAUUCUCAGCAUCUUCCUCCCCACUAAUACCUUCCUUCAAGUCCUCCGCAUCUUUCUCCUUCACAUGAUAUUCCUUUGAGUCCUCUGCAGCUUCCCCCAUGACAAGAUCUUCCUUU
rnacentral:misc_RNA from 1 species